rnacentral:rRNA from 1 species
ACGCCGGCGGCGUGCCUAACACAUGCAAGUCGAACGGAGUUUAAUUAGAAUGAGGCUUCGGCCAAUUUCUUUUUAAACUUAGUGGCGGACGGGUGAGUAACGCGUGAGUAACCUGCCGUUCAGAGGGGGACAACAGUUGGAAACGACUGCUAAUACCGCAUAACGUAUAGUUUUGGCAUCAUUACUAUACCAAAGGAGAAAUCCGCUGAAUGAUGGACUCGCGUCUGAUUAGAUAGUUGGUGAGGUAACGGCUCACCAAGUCGACGAUCAGUAGCCGACCUGAGAGGGUGAUCGGCCACAUUGGGACUGAGACACGGCCCAAACUCCUACGGGAGGCAGCAGUGGGGAAUAUUGGGCAAUGGGGGGAACCCUGACCCAGCAACGCCGCGUGGAGGAAGAAGGUUUUCGGAUCGUAAACUCCUGUCCUCAGGGAAGAGCAGAAGACGGUACCUGAGGAGGAAGCCCCGGCUAACUACGUG